GAGCACGGGGGCAACCCUGGUGGCGAGUGGCGAACGGGUGAGUAAUGCAUCGGAACGUAUCUUCGAGUGGGGGAUAACGCACCGAAAGGUGUGCUAAUACCGCAUAAUCUCUACGGAGAAAAGCAGGGGAUCGCAAGACCUUGCGCUCUUGGAGCGGCCGAUGUCUGAUUAGCUAGUUGGUGAGGUAAAGGCUUACCAAGGCGACGAUCAGUAGCUGGUCUGAGAGGACGACCAGCCACACUGGGACUGAGACACGGCCCAGACUCCUACGGGAGGCAGCAGUGGGGAAUUUUGGACAAUGGGGGAAACCCUGAUCCAGCCAUGCCGCGUGAGUGAAGAAGGCCUUCGGGUUGUAAAGCUCUUUCAGCCGGAACGAAACGGUCACGGCUAAUACCUGUGACUACUGACGGUACCGGAAGAAGAAGCACCGGCUAACUACGUGCCAGCAGCCGCGGUAAUACGUAGGGUGCAAGCGUUAAUCGGAAUUACUGGGCGUAAAGCGUGCGCAGCGCGGUUUUGUAAGUCAGAUGUGAAAUCCCCGGGCUUAACCUGGGAACUGCGUUUGAGAACUACAAGGCUAGAGUGUGGCAGAGGGGGGUGGAAUUCCACGUGUAGCAGUGAAAUGCGUAGAGAUGUGGAGGAACACCGAUGGCGAAGGCAGCCCCCUGGGUUAACACUGACGCUCAGGCACGAAAGCGUGGGGAGCAAACAGGAUUAGAUACCCCUGGUAGUCCACGCCCUAAACGAUGUCAACUAGUUGUCGGGUCUUAACGGACUUGGUAACGCAGCUAACGCGUGAAGUUGMCCGCCUGGGGAGUACGGUCGCAAGAUUAAAACUCAAAGGAAUUGACGGGGACCCGCACAAGCGGUGGAUUAUGUGGAUUAAUUCGAUGCAACGCGNAAAACCUUACCUACCCUUGACAUGUGCCGAAGUCCGUCUGAGAGGUGGACGUGCCCGAAAGGGAGCGGCAACACAGGUGCUG
rnacentral:rRNA from 1 species